rnacentral:rRNA from 1 species
GACGAACGCUGGCGGCGUGCUUAACACAUGCAAGUCGAACGGAAAGGCCCUGCUUGCCGGGUACUCGAGUGGCGAACGGGUGAGUAACACGUGGGUGAUCUGCCCUGCACUUCGGGAUAAGCCUGGGAAACUGGGUCUAAUACCGGAUAGGAGCCAUUUUUAGUGUGAUGGUUGGAAAGUUUUUUCGGUGUAGGAUGAGCUCGCGGCCUAUCAGCUUGUUGGUGGGGUAAUGGCCUACCAAGGCGGCGACGGGUAGCCGGCCUGAGAGGGUGGCCGGCCACAUUGGGACUGAGAUACGGCCCAGACUCCUACGGGAGGCAGCAGUGGGGAAUAUUGCACAAGGGGCGCAAGCCUGAUGCAGCGGCGCCGCGUGGGGGAUGACGGCCUUAGGGUUGUAAACUCCUUUCGCUAGGGACGAAGCUUUUUGUGACGGUACCUAGAUAAGAAGCACCGGCUAACUACGUG